rnacentral:rRNA from 1 species
UACGUAGGGGGCAAGCGUUGUCCGGAAUUAUUGGGCGUAAAGAGCGUGUAGGCGGUCCGGUAAGUCAGCUGUGAAAGUCAAGGGCUCAACCCUUGAAAGCCGGUUGAUACUGUCGGGCUAGAGUCCGGAAGAGGCGAGUGGAAUUCCGGGUGUAGUGGUGAAAUGCGUAGAGAUCCGGAGGAAUACCAGUGGCGUAAGCGGCCUGCUGGGUCAAUCCUGACGCUGAGACGCGAAGGCAUGGGGAGCGAACGGG